CACAUCGGUUGGCCACUCCUUUUGACUCUCCCAGAGUGUGUUAAUACUAUGCUUCAUGGCCAAAGUCUUCUUCUUGGCAUUAAAAAUGUAAACACGAAACCAGUAUCUCCAUUGAUUUUUGUUCAGAAAAGAAAAUUUAUCUUCUCACGGUGGCAAAUAUUAGACUCAGUUAAGCUACUUCUAAAUUUGGAUCA